GUGAAUCAUCGAAUCUUUGAACGCACAUUGCGCCCUUUGGUAUUCCUUAGGGCAUGCCUGUUCGAGCGUCAUCUCACCACUCAAGCACAGCUUGGUGUUGGGCGCUGUCCCUAGCCUUUCGAGGACCGGGACUCGCCUCAAAAGCAUUGGCGGCCUGUCAUUUGGCUUCGAGCGCAGCAGACCAAGCGCGUUAGGGCCCUGGCACAGGUGAUCCAGCAAGACCACACCUCAGAUUUGACCUCGGAUCAGGUAGGGAUACCCGCUGAACUUAAGCAUAUCAAUAAGCGGAGGA
rnacentral:misc_RNA from 1 species